rnacentral:lncRNA from 1 species
GGGGGAAAUGGGGAAGUAUUAGUUAAAGGAUGCAAAGUUUCAGUGAUACAAUAUAAAUAAAUGCUAGAGACCAACUUACAGCAUAAUACCUAUAAUUAAUGCUACUAUAUUGCAUUCUUAAAAAGUUGCUUAGAAAGUAGAUCUUAUGUUAAAUGUUCUUAUCACACACACAAAAUAAACAAGAGGGCGGGAUGAAACUUUUGGAGGUGAUGAAUAGGUUUAUGGCAUAGACUGUAUACUUAUCUCCAAACUCAUCAAGUGGCACACAUUAAUUAUGUACGGCUUUUUGUAUGUAAAUAAAUACAUAAAUAAAUGGCACCGUCAGAUAGGUUUUUGGUGAAGCCUCUCUUCCUAGCUUGUAGGUGGCCACCUUCUCCCUGAGUCCUCACACGGCCUCUUCUCUGUGUGCACAUGAAGAGAGAUCUCUGAUCUCUCCUCCUCUUCUAAUAAGGACACUAGUCCUAUUGGAUUAGUUCCUCACCUUUAUGACUUCAUGCAACUUUAAUUACCUUCCGAAAGACCCUAUCUCCAAAUACAGUCACAAUGGGGAUUAGGGCUUCAAUGUAAUGAAUUUUGGGGAGAAACAAUUCAGUCCAUAACAAAGGGUGAGAAGAAAAGUACUUUCAUUUUAGUUGCUUGAACUAUAAUGGAUUUGUGCGAUCCUACAGAGGAACAAUCUGAGAUUUUGACGUACAUUAUUUGGCCAAGGUAUUGCUUGACUUGUAGUAUAUUUCAGUGCAUGUUAUGGCACAAAUUAUGCAUUUUAAUGGGAUAUUUUAUUGAGCUCCUCUUGUUGAUUUGCACAAUGGGCACAAACAGGCUGAUAAUUUAAAUAGGGAUUAGUCUUUUUUUUAACAUAAUGGGUUGGCUAUGUAACAUGAAAUGUGAAUCAUAUGUAGCUCUUCUUUUCAGGAGUUUUCCAAAUUCCCAUAAGUUUUAUGCUUAUGCUAGCAUUGUACCAUGACAUUCACAAAUUUACCAUGAGAUAAGUUUAAUUCCAUGAUGUCCAAGUAGAAAGCAUUAAAAAAAGAUGAAAAAUAAAUUGUGAAAAAAUAUUUUUCUUUUUCUUCCUUCUCAUCAUGUCUUUCUUUUUCUCUGUCUACUCUCUCCUCACCUGUUUUCUUUAGGAGAGAAUCAUGAGUGAGAGAUGAUCCCCUUAAUUCAUUUUAUUGCCUAUUUCCAUAGCAUGACUAUUUGGGAGGUACUUAAGGGUGGUUUCUAGGCAGUGACAGAAAUGGAAAUUAUUUAUCCUAGGAACCCUGCGUGUAUUCUUGUUAAUUCAUUUGCACACUGUUAAAUAAAUAACAUAUAGGUGGGACCAGCAGAUUUGGAAAUUCCUCACCAUCCACACUCCAUUUUUAUACUCUAUUUUUAGGGUGAAAAUUGUUUUUGUUUACCUAAGUUACAAAGCUUCUUUUUUGUUAUGCAAAUAGAAAAUUAGUUGGGCAGAAUCAUGAAUGAAUUAAGUUAUUUCCUUGCUUUGUAUCUUUUCAGGAAUCUGAGGCCUACAUGGGUGACAAUUUUCAAUGGCUGAAUAAUUUAAUAAAAAGUGAAAAACAUUACAUAAAUAUGCCUAUGAUUAUAUGUGCACAGGAUAAAAUCCAAUAUUUAGGAUAAGCCAAAUUGAUAUAAAGUUAGAGAGGAGAUUGCCUAAACAUUGAGAGGCUGGUAGUGCAAUUGAUUGUAGAUUGGAGUUUUUGAAAACCUUCACACGGACUCUGAUAAGUGAUUACUCUACUGUAAAUAUGACAAUGUGGGACAAACACAAAAGCAUAAGGACAUGUUGAUUGUCAAAUCGAACUUAAGAACCCAUAUAAAUAUUAUGGAGUAUAAGGAAAUUGUUAUAUGCAGGUUCAAGUGGAAUAUAUAUAAAUUUGGUUUUGAGAGUGAUUUGGCUGGGAUGGGGUAGGGGUGUUGUUUACUAGGUUUGAAAUUUUUUAGGAACUUGAAGAAAGUAAAAGUUCAUGUCCUACGAGAGCUAAUCCUUUUAUCCAUCUGAAUAAAUGAGCAUUUUUUUAACUGGGCAAUACUGUAUAUUCCAGUUGCAGACUAAAUGAUUGCUUCAUUUGAAGCCUCCUGACUGCCAUGGAACCAUCUGCUAUGUGCUCCUGUGAAGGAAUAGAUGGCAUUAUUUCUUAUGGAGUGUUACAGUGGCGACCGAGGUGACACUGAAGGAAAAUUCUGUGACAGUAUGUUAAGUAAGAUAUUACUGACAGCCCUGCUGAGCGGCGAUGCCGAACUGCACGUCGUGGAUCUCUUCUCACCCCUAUAGCCCCCACCAAAUGGUUUCCAUUUGCGGCAUGUGGAACCAGAGUGGAAAGAUGAAUGGAAAAUUAUGUUCUUUUUCAAAUUCACUUGUUUGCAUACCAUUAGUAGGCCUGAGAUGAAGGCUCAAAUUUGGCAAAAAGGUGCAUUUAUCAACCCAGUAUCAUACUGCUGUACCUUUCCAUAUGGUAGGUAAGAAAAUCAAGAGGUGCUGAUAGGCUUGAGCUCUAGACCAGAAUUUGCCACAAGUCACUUUUCUAUGGAUUGGAUUUCUUUGUAGAAAAGGCUGGAGCUGGACUAUAACAAAGUUUCUAGAGCCCUUUCUAGCUCUAACUUUCUAUGAUUCCGAAAGCCCUGAGCUUUGUGCUUUAAUAGCCCAGAAGACAAAGUGAGUAGAAUGCAGAAUAGAAACUUCUCUGUGUGCUACACAUAUUGAUGCAGCCUAGUAGGGAAAAGAUCAGUGGGUCACAAGUCAGGAGAUCUGGCCAUGGUUCAGCCUUGAAGCAAGUCAUUGACUCAAUCCAUGUCAGCUUCCUCACCUCCUUCACAAGGUUGUAUCCAAGCUCUAAUGGAAUUAUGCUACUGAAAGAUGAUUAAUUGCUCCAACAAAUAUUGCACAACUGCCCUAUGCUAGACACUAUGCCAAGUGCUGGGGAUUCAAUGGUGGGUAAAGCGUAGUCUUUGUUUUGGAGGAGGACAUCUAGUAGGGAAGAUAGAUAAGUGAAUGGGUAACUAUAGAGAAGUGUACCAGGGGCUUUGAUGGGCACAGGUACAGGGUGUGAUAAAAGUAUAGGGUGAUAUAAAAAGACAGGGUGAUAUAAAAGCAUAGAGGAGGAGCAGCUCACCCAGCUGGGCGCAUGGAAGGCUCCAGGAAGAAGUGGAUUCUAAGCUAGGGCAAAUAUAGGUGGAAGGGGGAGGGACAAAUGACAUGACCAGCAGCUUCUUGAACCAAGAUUUAGAAAUUGUUAUGGUUUCGUUUUCCUUCACCACCAAUCUGUGAAGAAGGAGACCAUCAGCAUCUUGGGUCUUGAUGAACAAGGAGUGCUCUUAUUUAAAUAUUCUUAUAAUAGUUAUAUCAUACUUCAUUUCUAAAACAAAUGGGUUUAAAAGCCUGAGAAAUGAUAUUUAAGAGAAUACCACCAUUGACUGUCACACUCUAAAGGUGAGCUUGAAAAAUUCUCUCUAGACCUUUCUAUUCACAAAUGCUUCUGUGAGGCCGCAAGAGUUUUAUGGUGUGCUUUGCAGAGAGGUACGGAUGGAUCACCUUUGGUAAAAGGAGAAAUGAUAGUGGCUUUAUACAUAAUAUGAACUUUUGGUUUUCUUUUUAUAAUCCUCUCUAAGACAAGGGCUACCAGCUUGCUGCUCAGUGAAUAAUAAAUCUGACUCAUCUGCUCUUCCUACAGGCUGACCCUCCUCUGCGCUAAUGUUUGACAUUUUUCAGUUUAAUUAAAAUCACCCUUUAAGUAGCACACCACCAAGAGAACGAUGGAAUUUCUUCCUGUAAUGUGAUGCUGAGUAAAGGACAACUCACCAAGUCCGCCAUUGUCUGUGCCACUUUCCACGGAG